AAUAAAACUUGAAAUUGGGGCAGCUGAGAUUGGGCUGGCUGAGAAAGAGGCAUGGAAUAUAUCUAGGUUAUUGAUGCUAUAACUGGAACAUCUUAUUCAUAGUCAUCUGAGCAGAUAGAUGAUAACAAAAUCAAAACUGGCAUCAGUGAAAAGGUACGCAUACCCAGAUUGGCACAGAACUUACUGCCAAAACAUGCAAAGGAUCAGCCAUCUAACUGUGUCACCAAGUUAGCUUCCUCUGCUCCUGACCAUGCUGUAUUCGGGUACAAAGUAUAUUUAGCAUCAACCAAGGCAUGAGCUGGCUACAUACCAGUUUAAAAGUUGUUGUGUAAAAUGAACAAGGGGUUGAGAUUGCAAAGAGAUAAUUGAGCCUAACAUCAAAGAGAAGAGAGACCAUGGUGUGGCCUGUAGAAAGGACAGGUUAAACAGAUGGCAGAGGAGUAAAUGGUGACCCCCCCACCCCCCCAAAAAAACCCCAAAAAAACAAAAAAACCCUGCAUCAGAGACAUUCAAUCUGCAAAGGAAAGUCUAUUUGCAGAGGGAAGACAGCUGGCAGAAAGUGGCUUUGAGACGCAUCGGAAGGAGAAUUUGCAGUCUCUGCAGUGACUCAGGCAGUAAGUCAGCUAUCGUAGGAACAAAUGACGUGGCCAGGGGAAACCCUAACCGCAUUAUGAAGGACUUUGAGGCUUUGGGGGCCAAGCUUAAGGAGACGGGGGCACAGGUGGUAUUCUCCUCUCUUCUUCUGGUUGGCUGAUCUCGUACAGCAAGCUUUAAACUAGCCUCGCUGGGGUAGGGGGCCGCAGGAAGAUGUGGAGACACCACCCGAGCGAGACAGAUGACACAUGCAGGGAGUACUCAGGAUGAAGUAUCAAAACCAAUUUGUAUUCAUACUUCCCAAGAAACCUAUAUUGGAAUAACUACAUUAAAAUACAGUGUGAAGCAAUGUGAGGAAAGUUUGACAGGGAUUAACAAAUGAAGGAAUAUUAACAGC